rnacentral:rRNA from 1 species
UACGGAGGGUGCGAGCGUUGUCCGGAAUCACUGGGCGUAAAGGGCGCGUAGGCGGCCUGGUAAGCGUGUGGUGAAAGCUCGGGGCUCAACUCCGAGUCGGCCGUGCGAACUGGGCUCACUGGAGCAUAGUAGAGGCAGGUGGAAUUCCGGGUGUAGCGGUGGAAUGCGUAGAGAUCCGGAAGAACACCGGUGGCGAAGGCGGCCUGCUGGGCUAUGGCUGACACUGAGGCGCGACAGCGUGGGGAGCAAACAGG